rnacentral:rRNA from 1 species
UGCAAGUCGAACGAAAAGUGAUUUAGUUUACUAAUGAUCUUUUAGUGGCGGACGGGUUAGUAACGCGUGAGCAACCUGCCUUAAAGAGGGGGAUAGUCCUGGGAAACUGGGUUUAAUACCGCAUAAGCUCUACGGAGUAAAGUGGCCUUCGGGUCACGCUUUAAGAUGGGCUCGCGUCCUAUCAGCUUGUUGGUGAGGUAAAGGCUCACCAAGGCUACGACGGGUAGUUGGUCUGAGAGGACGAUCAGCAACACUGGAACUGAGACACGGUCCAGACACCUACGGGUGGCAGCAGUCGAGAAUCAUUCACAAUGGGGGCAACCCUGAUGGUGCAACGCCGCGUGUGGGAUGAAGGCCUUAGGGUCGUAAACCACUGUCAUGUGAGAGUAAGGCAUAUUAGUUAAUACCUAGUAUGUUUGAUAGUAUCACAAGAGGAAGGGACGGCUAACUUCGUGCCAGCAGCCGCGGUAAUACGAAGGUCCCGAGCGUUAUUCGGAAUCACUGGGCGUAAAGGGAGCGUAGGCUGUACGGUAAGUCAGAUGUGAAAUCUCAGAGCUCAACUCUGAAACUGCAUCCGAUACUGCCGUACUAGAGUAAUGGAGGGGUAACUGGAAUUCUCGGUGUAGCAGUGAAAUGCGUAGAUAUCGAGAGGAAGACCAACGGCGAAGGCAGGUUACUGGACAUUUACUGACGCUGAGGCUCGAAGGCUAGGGUAGCGAAAGGGAUUAGAUACCCCUGUAGUCCUAGCAGUAAACGAUGUGCGCUUGGUGUGGGAAGGUUCGACCCUUUCCGUGCCGGAGCUAACGCGUUAAGCGCACCGCCUGGGGAGUACGGUCGCAAGACUAAAACUCAAAGAAAUUGACGGGGACCCGCACAAGCGGUGGAGUAUGUGG